GAUGAACGCUGGCGGCGUGCCUAAUACAUGCAAGUCGAGCGAACAGACGAGGAGCUUGCUCCUCUGACGUUAGCGGCGGACGGGUGAGUAACACGUGGAUAACCUACCUAUAAGACUGGGAUAACUUCGGGAAACCGGAGCUAAUACCGGAUAAUAUAUUGAACCGCAUGGUUCAAUAGUGAAAGACGGUUUUGCUGUCACUUAUAGAUGGAUCCGCGCCGCAUUAGCUAGUUGGUAAGGUAACGGCUUACCAAGGCAACGAUGCGUAGCCGAGCUGAGAGGGUGAUCGGCCACACUGGAACUGAGACACGGUCCAGACUCCGACGGGAGGCAGCAGUAGGGAAGCGUGCGCAAUGGGCGAAAGCCUGACGGAGCAACGCCGCGUGAGUGAUGAAGGUCUUCGGAUCGGAAAACUCUGUUAUUAGGGAAGAACAAAUGUGUAAGUAACUAUGCACGUCUUGACGGUACCUAAUCAGAAAGCCACGGCUAACUACGUG
rnacentral:rRNA from 1 species